GUCAGGUAUCUGUUACUGGCCUCUGAAAGUAUUCUAACUGACAUUCCAUCUGCAAUCUCCUGUUUCAACUGGCCGCAGCUCCAGGACCACUCAGUUUGUUGUACAGGAGCAGCCCAGAUUUGGUGUGUUCCUCUACACAAGGAACAAUUGCCUGGAGACAUGAUUCACAGGGAGGAGGGAGUGCCUUCCUAGAAGAGCUAUCAUAAAAAGCCCUAGAUCCUGACUAUCAGCAGAGAAUUCUUGUGCUUGGUGUAAGAGCAGAAAAGGCUGGAAAGGCAGCGAUAAUGACCAGGAUCAGCAUCUAACUCACCCAGUGGCAAAGGGGCCACCACCCACAGAAGGUUUAAAAGUGUACACUCAACAGAUAAGCAGUAGGUAGCAUUCAUAAUGGGAAAAUAUGACUCUGAAAGAAAAUUUUUAUGUGGCACUGAGAUACUUUGAGAUGCAUGAUCAAUGAAGGACCUAAUUCAAAGAGGGUAACAUUAAAAUUCCCAAGUACAGCACAGCCACAAAAGCUGUAGCCACAUGGGCAACUUUACUGCCCCUACAGUUUAAGUGUCUGAUGGGAAUGCCAGACCUAAGAAUUGGAAUUGGGGGUCCUGACUUGUUUGAAGCAAGUUAAGGUCUUUUUUUUUUUUUUUUUUUUUUUUUUUUGAGAGGGAGUCUCACUCUGUCACCAGUCUGGAGUGCAGUGGCAUGAUCUCAGCUCACUGCAAGCUCCGCCUCCCAGGUUCAUGCCAUUCUCCAGCCUCAGCCUCCCAAGUAGCUGGGACUACAGGCGCCUGCCACCAUGCCCGGCUAAUGUUUUGUAUUUCAGUAGAGACAGGAUUUCACCAUUUGGUCAGGAUGGUCUUGAUCUCCUGAUCUCGUAAUUCACCCGCCUCGGCCUCCCAAAGUGGUGGGAUUACAGGCGUGAGCCACCGCGCCUGGACAAGUCAAGGUCUUUUUAUAUUUCCUCAGUGUCACUUACAAUAAUCCACCUACACUUGAUUUUCUCUGUUACAAAAAGAUAGUAUAUUAAAAGGUAGUUCAGUCGAUAUUUAUGGAUGGAAACAGAGGUGAAUAUUUAGAAAGACUAAAUCAAACUGAGAUAAUAAAGAAAUAUAAGCUAUAAUUCAGAGGAAUGGAAUGCCAAAAGUAAGGGGAGUGGAAUCUGAAGUUCAUGACUAUGCUCUCAUAUUUUUUUCCUGCCAGCUGUUGGUAGAAAUUAUUAUUAUGAUGAUGAUGAUUAUGAUUAUUAUUAUUUUGAGACGGAGUUUCGCUCUUGUUGCCCCGGCUGGAGUGCAAUGGCGUGAUCUUGGCUCACAGCAACCUCCGCCUCCUGGGUUCAAGCCAUUCUCCUGCCUCAGCCUCCCGAGUAGCUGAGAUUACAGGCAUGUGCCACCACGCCCAGCUAAUUUUGUAUUUUUAGUAGAGAUGGGGUUUCUCCAUGUUGGUCAGGCUGGUCUCGAACUCCGGACCUCAGGUGAUCCACCCGCCUCGGCCUCCCAAAGUGCUGGGAUUACAGGCGUGAGCCACUGCGCCUGGCCAGAAAUUAUUAUAUGAAACUAGAAGCCUGUUCAAUUUUAACAAAAGGAUGCAGAUAUGAUGCAACUGUUGAACAUAAGACAAAUUAAAAUAUUUUCUUUCUUUUCUUUUCUUUCUCUCUCUCUCUUUCUUUCUUUUUUAGAUGGAGUCUCCCUCUCUACCCAGGCUGGAGUGCAGUGGCAUGAUCUCAGCUCACUGCAACCUCCACCUCCCGGGUUCAAGUGAUUCUCCUGCCUCAGCCUCCUGAGUAGUUGGGAUUACAGGCAUGCGUCACCAUGCCUGGCUAAUUUUUGUAUUUUUGAUUGAGACGGGGUUUUACCAUGUUGGUCAGGCUGGUCUCGAACGCCUGACCUCAUGAUCUGCUCACCUCGGCCUCCCAGAGUGCUGGGACCACAGGUGUGAGCCACCGCACCUGGCCCAAAUUAAAAUAUUUUCAUUGCAAAUACAAAAUACCAAGAGGUUCUAUAUAUAAUCUUUGAAAGUACCCUUUCUAUUUAAAGAUCAGGAUUUUUUUUCACAUGUCUAGAAAGAAAUUUGGUUCAAUUCUAUUCACUAUGUAUUUAUUGGGAACCCAUUAGAUGUGUAAUAUAAUCAAAUAUCAAUAGAUUAUAGAAAAGAAGAGAGUCCUUUUUCUUACAACCCAGCAGGGCGGAAAGGAUUAAAUUCUUCUUAUAAAGGGAGAACAAAUAGAUUAGAAAAGACGCUGCGUAGUCAAGUUCAGAAAAGUGAGAAAGUUUAGAAAGGUUUCAUAGAGAUGAACUGCAGUUCUAAUAAUAAAACUUAACAUUUUUAUAACAUUUGAUAGUUUCGGAAGCAGUUUCACAGACCUUAUCUCAUUGCUUCACAUGGACCUUGUAAGACAGGUGGGAUUUGGAUAAGUAGUUCCUUUAAAAAAUGUCUUCGAAUAUUGUACAUUUAGACUGACAAAUGCCUUUAUUAGAAUAAAGGGAAAAGGUAUGUGAGAGACAUAGAGAGCAAAUUUUGGGUUCUAGUUCCACAACUAACUAGCUGUGUGAACUAUGAACUAUCAUGUGGUGUCUUUGUAAACUCAAGGGUUGGAUUUCUGGACUUUCUGUGCUGAAGUGUAAAACUAAAAAUAUUAAAAUAUUCAGUAAUUC